UCUUCACCACGGCCACAGUGGUAAAUAUUUGUUUUCCUUCCUAGGCAGGGAUCCCUGAGAUUUGGUCAACAAUACCAGGAAGACGAUUUGAUGAACAAGGAAGCACCGGAGAUAGAAUGUUGCAUGAGGAAGAACAAUAACGGGAAGGCUUGGACAUGUGAAGCUGAUUUUGGGAAAGACAAGCUGAGUGAUGACCGCAGGGAUCCCUGAGGUUUGGUCAUCAAUACCAGGAAGACGAUUUGAUGAACAAGGAAGCACUGGAGGUAGAAUGUUGCAUGAAGAAGAACAAUAACGGGAAGGCUUGGACAUGUGAAGCUGAUUUUGGGAAAGACAAGCUGAGUGAUGACCGCAUGGGAUCCUGAGGCUUGGCUCCCAAUCCCACAAGACAACUUGAUAUGAACAGGAAACAUUUGAGAUAUAGAUUCCUGAGGAUUGACCCACAAUACAACAAAGUAAUAUCAAGAUGGAACACUGGAGAUAGAAUGCUGGAUGAAGAGGAGCAGAACUGAGAACUCUUUGGGAGUUGAGUUUGGGAGAAGAGAGCCUACCUAUUGCAGGAGGGCAUGGCUCCUGUGCAUGGGCAUGAUGCGAAGAAGCACAUAUAGUACUGAGAAAUGCCAAUGGGGAGGAAAGUUAUUUUAAAAAAUGAAUAUGCCAAAGAAUGAUUGGGAAUAAUCUUUAAGAAUAUUAACAAGUCUGCAAAAUGCUCACCCUGCAGAAACUUACUUGACCACUGGAGUGGAAACUUUAAAGACUUCAUUGUGCAUGGGUUCCUGAGGCUUGGCCUGCAAUAUGUCAACACAAUUUGAUAGCACGAGGAAAUGCUGGAGAUGGAAUGCUUCGUGAAGAACAACAAUAAUGGGAAGACUUGGUUGUGUGGAAAUUUAGCUCUUCAGAAGCUGUUUGCUGAGGGUUUGAUUUCAUAAAAUAAAAGAGGGUAAGUUUGAAAAAGACACGUUGCACCUGUGGUCAAGUGAGGAUGAUGGACCAGUCGUCUCUGCAAAGAACAACUGCAAAACUGGCGAAGACAGACCAACUCCGUCUCUGGAAGUUAACUGGAAACAUAGGACAAUGGUAAAAGGUUUGUGUAAGAAGGUGGAAAUCUGUUGCUUUGGCCUGUGGCUGCUCCCACCUGCCUUCUUCCCAGCUGUGUCUAUAGGGAGGUUCUGACAACGUGAAAUGAAGAUUUGCCUAAAUAAAGGCUGAGGAUUUCUUGCCAGCUGACUUGUAGCACAAGAAAUAAUGGUAGGAAGUCCCUUAGGCCAAUCGGAAAUGACUCCACAUGGUGACUUGAAUCUCUAAGGACAAAUGAAGAGCGGGAGAAAUGGUAAAUAGCUGGGUUAAUAUAAAAAGUAUAUUUUUUCUCUUUUUUCUUAUGUUGUUUACAAAAGAUUAUAUAAAGCAAUAAUUUUUGUUGCUUUAUACUCUUAGAUCAACACUGUGUUGUUGGCUUCAUAACAUUAAGUUGUAACUUAUAUGAUAAUAACAGCAUAACAUUAGAAGGAUGUGGAACUAUAUAUGGGCAAUGUUUCUACAUUUUAGCCGAAGUAAAUUAGUAACAAGCCGAUAUAUAUUUCAGUAAGUUAAAAUACAUACUAUAACUUUUAGAACAACCACUGGGGAAACAACCCAAAAAUAUAAUUUAAAAUUCAAAGAGAAAUUUAAAAGGUAUAUUUAGUAAAAAUUGAAAAAUAGUCAACACAAAAGAAUUCUGUGAGCUCAGUGCAGUGACGCACACCUGUGACCCUGGCUAUAUGGGAGGCUCACACAGUGGGAUCGAAGUUCAAGACUAGCCCGGGCAACUUAGUGAGACUGUGUCUCAAAGUGAAAUGAAAAGGGUCAGGGAUGUAAGCUCGGAGACAGAGUGCUUACCUAGUGUGCUUGAGCCCUUGGUUUAAUCCUUCAGUAGAAGGAUGGGAGUAGAAAUUCAGAAGAACAAAAAAUGGGAGGCAUACAGAAAACAAAUACAUAGCAAAAUGCCAAAUUUAAAUCCAAUUAUAUCAAAGAUUAUAUUGAAUGUUAUGGUUUAAACAAUCAAAUUAGGGGCUGGGGAUUUAGCUCAGCGGCAAAAGC